GCGAGCCGAUGGACGGCUCUCGGGGUUCUCCUGAGGAAACACCGCUCAUCGGAUGGGACUGCAAGAUCGAAAGGAUCUAGGCUGAGAGGCCUGACCCUGGAACAGAAACGAUACCCGCCAGUUCACCGCCAUGAUGCGGAAACGCUGAGGACGGGCUGGUCAGGGAUGGAACGGCCAAUCUGCAGGAUGCAAGGGCAAAAUAACUGCCGAUGAACUCCAUCGGAGGCAGGUGGUAGCCCGCUAAGCUAAAUGCCGUUUAGAACAGAAAGCGGGUUACGGUCGGCACGC
rfam:Candidate divison MSBL1 archaeon SCGC-AAA259M10 AAA259M10_Contig_0, whole genome shotgun sequence.